CCUGAUGGAUGGACAGAAACCUAGACAACAUUCUCUUAUCUGUUUUUGUUGGGGUUUUUUUUGUUUUUUUUUUGUUUUUCUUAAUAAUUCUAAUGCUCACACUCCUACAUUAGAAUUUGUGAAUCCAGUCGUAUAUGGCUCAGCUUUUCUGAACCUCAUUUUUCUUUUACACACACACACACACACAGUGGGACUCAGGUCCCUGGACUCUGGAAAGAUAGUCGCUUCCUAUGGCAGACCAGAGAGGACCCCUGUACACUCUCUGAGCUCCUUUUACAAGGCUGCCUCCUCAGGAAGGCCCUGGUGUUCCUAGCAGACCAAUGGAAAAGAAUGAGUAUCUCUGGUUCCUCCAGAAGGGUCUAUCUCCUUGUACCUAGACCUCAUAUUCAAAGAGCUGCCACUCUGUAGAAUCUGCUACCGGACAUUCCUUUAAUCAAACAUUGGGUGUUACUUUAGGAACUUGCUAGAUACCAGACGUGGUGAUGAUGCAUGCCUUUAAUCCCAGCACUCAAGAGGAAGAAGCAGGCAGAUCUCUAUGAAUUUGAAAUCUACAGAGUGAGUUCCAGAACAGCCAAAGAUACACAAAGAAUCCCUGUCUUGAAAAACAGAAACAACAACAAAAAGAACUUGCUAAGCAUCAAGGGUGCCUCUGAUGUCCACAUUAAUCUCCCCUCCAGUCAGCCCAUCAGUAGACAUGGGCAUCCUUCCAGCACAGAAGAAGUAGAAUGCUCUGAGCCCCACCAGGCAGUGUGAAAACAGAGAAACUGAGUCAAAUAUGAUUCUGAUAGCGUUGGCAUUUAACUGAGUGCUUCCUAUUGCCACGCAUAGCCUGUCCUAUGGCCUAGUGCUUCCUAGUGAAGCAAAUACUGCAUUUAUUUGGACCUGGGCCACUAUGUCUCCUGUCAUCACAGAGUACGAUAGGAAUGGUACCCCCUGCAGUGGCAAGAGACCUGAGUGACUUAUGCAGAGCUCAUUUGACAGAUGGAGAAGAAAAUAGCCUUUGAAAGUAAGAUACCAUGCAGAAGUUCACACAGGGACCAAAACCCCAGCCAGCCCCACCCCAUCCUGAUACUGGAGGUCAAGACUGACCUGGGUUCUUGCCAAAACACAACCCUUGCUCCCUAUAUCCAGCUCCUUCCUGUUUUCACCAAGAGGUCUCACUCAUUGGGAGUAUCAAGACUUUCCCAGUGCCCUGUCCCCUUCCUGGAGAAGACUCUUGGCCUUGAGCAACAUCACAGAGCCUCUGAAGGAGGUGCUUGACGAUCUGCCCUCACUGAGAACAUGUCCCUGGCUUUGAGGCCUGGCACUGAUGACCCCGAUGUGGCAGCUGCUGAUUUGGGAGCCUUAAUUAUUUAGAGAAUGCAUACUAUUCAGCCCAUUGGCUCUGUUUUGAGUUCAGAAGCGAAAUGCCCUGGGGAUUGUUUCCAGUGAAGAACAAGAUUCCACUUGUCACAGAGACUAAAGAUGAGAGCUUGGUCCUGGAAGGGACUGCAGUCACGGGGCGUUUGCAAACAUUCUAGAAGAGUAGGAGGCCAGCAGACUGCUUUGGGGGUCGGUCCCUGCUCAGCUGUCCCGGGAAAGCGCUUCUCUUGCCUUCUUAGAGAUUCUGCCCUCUGAGGGUUCCCAUUGUUGGAACAGGGUCCAUGAUCGACGCUGUGUGAGAUUUCUGAGCCUGCGAGAAAACUCCAAGUAAACAAGAAUCUUAUGACCUCUGCUCCUUCAUCACAUGGGUUGUUUUUUGGAUGUGCGUUCAUGCCCCUCCCAGGGGUGGCAGAUGGGAGUGAGUUAACUUCAGAUUAUUCAAUGCGCUGGCCAUUGUUUGUUUAUAUGCCUCUGUGAAAAAAACAUGUUUCUGCCUUGUGCGACUUGUCUUGUGACUGAAACUCGGGUGAUUCUUCAGAGUAUAAACUGUCCGAUGCUCUGAAUAAAGCUGGCUAUUGCAUGAGA